rnacentral:rRNA from 1 species
CUCAAGGUAAGAGUCUUGGAGGUAGAGCACUGAUUGGACUAGGGGCCCCUACCGGGUUACCGAAUUCAGUCAAACUCCCAAUGCCAAAGACUUAUCCUUGGGAGUCAGACUGCGAGUGAUAAGAUCCGUAGUCGAAAGGGAAACAGCCCAGACCGCCAGCUAAGGUGCCAAAGUAUACGUUAAGUGGAAAAGGAUGUGGAGUUGCACAGACAACCAGGAUGUUGGCUUAGAAGCAGCCACCAUUGAAAGAGUGCGUAAUAGCUCACUGGUCGAGUGACUCUGCGCCGAAAAUGUAACGGGGCUAAACACACCACCGAAGCUAUGGCUAGAUACUAUGUAUCUGGGGUAGGGGAGCGUUGUAUGUGGGUUGAAGGUGUACCGUAAGGAGCGCUGGACAGCAUACAAGUGAGAAUGCCGGUAUGAGUAACGAAAAGAUCAGUGAGAAUCUGAUCCGCCGAAAGCCCAAGGUUUCCUGAGGAAGGCUCGUCCGCUCAGGGUAAGUCGGGACCUAAGG